UACGAAGGUGGCUAGCGUUGUUCGGAAUUACUGGGCGUAAAGCGCGCGUAGGCGGCUAUUCAAGUCAGAGGUGAAAUGCCCGGGCUUAACCCGGGAACUGCCUUUGAAACUGUAUAGCUGGAGUGUCGGAGGGGAUGGCGGAAUUCCUAAUGUAGAGGUGAAAUUCGUAGAUAUUAGGAGGAACACCGGUGGCGAAGGCGGCCAUCUGGACGACAACUGACGCUGAGGCGCGAAAGCGUGGGGAUCAAACAGG
rnacentral:rRNA from 1 species